AAGACUAUAGACCUGCGGAGUACCUGCGGAAGGAUCAUUACAGAGUUACUACUCCAAACCCAUUGUGAACCUUACCUAUGUUCUGUUGCCUCGGCGGCGUGGUCAGCGCCCCUCUGAAAAGAGGACGAUGCCCUCCCGCCGGCAGCACCAAACUCUUUGAAUUUUACAGCGGAUUACAGUUCUGAUUUGAAAACAAAAAAACAAGUUAAAACUUUCAACAAUGGAUCUCUAGAUCGGAAG
rnacentral:misc_RNA from 1 species